GACUACCCUAGUCUUCCAAGACAAUGAAUGUCACGUGCACAGGGCUGGAACUGUGUGUCUUAAUUGGCAUGAAGAGCAUUCUGAAGCAUUCUUCCAUUUUGAGUGGCCCGCAGAAUCCUAACCCAGCUUUCAAACACAUUGAACAUUUCUGGAAAUGUUUGGAGGAACGAGUGAAACAUCAGCAGAGCAAUCCAACUAAUCGGACAACCUGCAGGAUUUGGUGCUAGAAGAGUGGAUGAAAACUGAUGUCACCUGCGUCUGCAAAGUGGUGGUGUCCAUGUCAGACAGAAUUGCAGCUGUCGUUCGAUAUUAAGGAGAAGCUACGUGCUGUUAGGAUGUAACACCGCUAAUCUUUUGAGAUCAAAUCAAAAAUGGAUCUGCAGUAAUCCUGAAAAUGGGUCAAAGAGCCUCACCACCAUAUCUUGAAGGCUGCACCAUCUUGGCUGGAGAGAAGGAAACAUUUGUUAAAAAGCAGUCUGCUGAAGACUUUCAUCCACUACUCGCCCUUCUUAGCUUAAUCUAGCAAACAGCCCUCCACCAGGCAUUGAUAAGAAACUGACAAAAUCGCCUUCUCCAUCGCCACUGUUCUCUUGCUGUGUCAUCCACCCAGGGCAG